rnacentral:misc_RNA from 1 species
GAUGAAGAACGCAGCGAAACGCGAUAAGUAAUGUGAAUUGCAGAAUCCAGUGAAUCAUCGAAUCUUUGAACGCACAUUGCGCCCGCCAGCAUUCUGGCGGGCAUGCCUGUUCGAGCGUCAUUUCAACCCUCGACCUCCCCUUGGGGAGGUCGGCGUUGGGGACCGGCAGCACACCGCCGGCCCUGAAAUGGAGUGGCGGCCCGUCCGCGGCGACCUCUGCGCAGUAAUACAGCUCGCACCGGGACCCCGACGCGGCCACGCCAUAAAACACCCAACUUCUGAACGUUGACCUCGAAUCAGGUAGGACUACCCGCUGAACUUAAGCAUAUCAAUAAGCGGAGGA